rnacentral:rRNA from 1 species
UACGUAGGGUGCAAGCGUUAAUCGGAAUUACUGGGCGUAAAGCGUGCGUAGACGGUUAUGUAAGUCGGGUGUGAAAGCCCCGGGCUCAACCUGGGAAUUGCAUUCGAGACUGCAUAGCGUAGGGUGCGGAAGAGGGAAGCGGAAUUUCCGGUGUAGCGGUGAAAUGCGUAGAUAUCGGAAGGAACACCAGUGGCGAAAGCGGCUUCCUGGUCCAGCACCGACGUUCAGGCACGAAAGCGUGGGGAGCAAACAGG